AUUGAACGCUGGCGGCAUGCCUUACACAUGCAAGUCGAACGGUAACAGGUCUUCGGAUGCUGACGAGUGGCGAACGGGUGAGUAAUACAUCGGAACGUGCCUAGUAGUGGGGGAUAACUACUCGAAAGAGUGGCUAAUACCGCAUGAGAUCUACGGAUGAAAGCAGGGGAUCGCAAGACCUUGUGCUACUAGAGCGGCCGAUGGCAGAUGAGGUAGUGGGUGGGAUAAAAGCUUACCAAGCCGACGAUCUGUAGCUGGUCUGAGAGGACGAUCAGCCACAAUGGGACUGAGAAACGGCCCAGACUCCGACGGGAGGCAGCAGUGGGGAAGUUUGGACAAUGGGCGCAAGCCUGAUCCAGCAAUGCCGCGUGCAGGAUGAAGGCCUUCGGGUUGUAAACUGCUUUUGUACGGAACGAAAAGCCCCGGGUUAAUACCCUGGGGUCAUGACGGUACCGUAAGAAUAAGCACCGGCUAACUACGUGCCAGCCGCCGCGGUAA
rnacentral:rRNA from 1 species